GAUGAACGCUGGCGGCGUGCCUAAUACAUGCAAGUCGAGCGAACGGACGAGGAGCUUGCUCCUUUGACGUUAGCGGCGGACGGGUGAGUAACACGUGGAUAACCUACCUAUAAGACUGGGAUAACUUCGGGAAACCGGAGCUAAUACCGGAUAAUAUAUUGAACCGCAUGGUUCAAUAGUGAAAGACGGUUUUGCUGUCACUUAUAGAUGGAUCCGCGCCGCAUUAGCUAGUUGGUAAGGUAACGGCUUACCAAGGCAACGAUGCGUAGCCGACCUGAGAGGGUGAUCGGCCACACUGGAACUGAGCCACGGUCCAGACUCCUACGGGAGGCAGCAGUAGGGAAUCUUCCGCAAUGGGCGAAAGCCUGACGGAGCAACGCCGCGUGAGUGAUGAAGGUCUUCGGAUCGUAAAACUCUGUUAUUAGGGAAGAACAAAUGUGUAAGUAACUAUGCACGUCUUGACGGUACCUAAUCAGAAAGCCACGGCUAACUACGUG
rnacentral:rRNA from 1 species